rnacentral:rRNA from 1 species
CGAGACAGUGAUGUGGAGCGAAACUUAAAAAAGUAAGUCUCGGUUCGGAUUGAAGGCUGAAAUUCGCCUUCAUGAAGCCGGAAUUGCUAGUAAUGGCAGGUCAGCAUACUGCCGUGAAUACGUUCCCGGGCCUUGUACACACCGCCCGUCACACAUGAGAGUUGGAAAUACCCGAAGCCUGUGAGCUAACCGUAAGGAGGCAGCAGUCGAAGGUAGAGUCAAUGAUUGGGGUGAAGUCGUAACAAGGUACC